rnacentral:rRNA from 1 species
AUAAGCGGAGGAAAAGAAACCAACAGGGAUUGCCUCAGUAACGGCGAGUGAAGCGGCAACAGCUCAAAUUUGAAAUCUGGUCCCCUCUGGGGGCCCGAGUUGUAAUUUGAAGAGGAUGCUUUUGGCGAGGCGCCGUCCGAGUUCCCUGGAACGGGACGCCGCAGAGGGUGAGAGCCCCGUACGGUCGGACGCCGAGCCUCUGUAAAGCUCCUUCGACGAGUCGAGUAGUUUGGGAAUGCUGCUCAAAAUGGGAGGUAAACCCCUUCUAAAGCUAAAUACCGGCCAGAGACCGAUAGCGCACAAGUAGAGUGAUCGAAAGAUGAAAAGCACUUUGAAAAGAGAGUUAAAAAGCACGUGAAAUUGUUAAAAGGGAAGCGCUUGCGACCAGACUUGCGCCCGUCGGAUCAACCGUCGCUUGCGGCGGCGCACUCCGGCGGGCUCAGGCCAGCAUCAGUUCGCCUGGGGGGAGAAAGGCGGCGGGAAUGUAGCUCCUCGGAGUGUUAUAGCCCGCCGUGUAAUACCCUCGGGUGGACUGAGGACCGCGCGUAUGCAAGGAUGCUGGCGUAAUGGUCGUCAGCGACCCGUCUUGAAACACGGACCAAGGAGUCGUCCUAAUAUGCGAGUGUACGGGUGUCAAACCCCUGCGCGUAAUGAAAGUGAACGGAGGUGAGAGCUUCGGCGCAUCAUCGACCGAUCCUGAUGUUAUCGGAUGGAUUUGAGUAAGAGCAUAUUGGGCCGGACCCGAAAGAAGGUGAACUAUGCCUGUGUAGGGUAAAGCCAGAGGAAACUCUGGUGGAGGCUCGCAGCGGUUCUGACGUGCAAAUCGAUCGUCAAACAUGGGCAUGGGGGCGAAAGACUAAUCGAACCUUCUAGUA